rnacentral:rRNA from 1 species
CCUACGGGAGGCAGCAGUGGGGAAUUUUCCGCAAUGGGCGAAAGCCUGACGGAGCAAUGCCGCGUGAAGGCAGAAGGCCCACGGGUCAUGAACUUCUUUUCUAGGAGAAGAAAAAAUGACGGUAUCUGAGGAAUAAGCAUCGGCUAACUCUGUGCCAGCAGCCGCGGUAAU